UUUAACUAACAUCGUUGACUUUUGGAUCUACGUUUGACCCUUUGUCUUAUUCAAAAAAUUUAUAUAAUUAUUGAUUAUUUUGUUAUGAUUUGAUUUAUUACUGAAGUAACUUUAAUAUUUUUGCAUAUUUGGACAAAAGUUUUGAAUAAGACGAAGGGUCAAACGUAAGUCCAAAAGUCAACUGCGUCAAUUAAA
rnacentral:pre_miRNA from 1 species